ensembl:lncRNA
GGACCACCUGUGUUCGUCAUAUUGGGAGUCGAAAGGCUAUAAAAGCCCUCAGCAAACAGAUAAGAAACACAAUAGUUUCAAACUGCCCAGCUUCACAUGCACACGCGCACAUGAACACAAAUCCUGUGACCACUGGUACCUAAAGGCGGAGAAGCACCUGAACGCUGAGGAUAAAUCAGGGGAAGGAGAUUCCACUAUUUUAUUUUCAUCUUCUUCAUCAUCAUCAUCAUUCAUCACCUUCAGAGCCAUGUUCCUGUCAUUUUGGCUAUGCUCAUUGGCUCUUCUGGCGCAGUCUUUGUCAUCAGUAUCCUCAGAAGCAACUACACAGAGCGACAACAUGACCACCGCCGUGUCCUCCAAAACUACUCCAACGACAACUCAUGCUACCGAAACGGCUUGGGCUAACCUAACGGCUGGGGCUAACCUAACGGCUGGGGCUAACCAAACGGCUGGGGCUACCGAAACGGCUGGGGCUAACCAAACAGCUGGGGCUAGCCAAACGGCUGGGCCAACCCAAAUGACUUCUGCGGCAACCCAAAUGACAUCUGCAGUUGCCCUUACCACGUUUGGGGCAAGCAGAACGACGACAGUAGCAGCCAAUCCAGGCUCUGUGGCCACCGGAAUGACGACAACUAACGGACACAGCCGGCUCAUCGGCUCGCUGAUCCUGUUCCUGGGUUCAGUUUCUUUGGCAGUGAUUGACCACUAGAGAUCGCUGUUUCUUCAUCCGCUUUGGCAGCACGUCUUUAUUGCCUUUUGUAGCCAAUGAAAAGUGUCGGACCACUUCGACUCUUGAGGAUUAAGGGGUUAAAAAAGAAAAAUCGAAGAACAAACUCAUGAUUAGGGAUGUUGUACAGUUUAAGGUACUAAAGCUGACCAAAGGGAAUGCAAAUUAAGAUGAGCAUAUGUACUCGACUAUUUAAACUUGGCCACUUAGUGCUUUCCUAUUGAAUGAAUUAAGCUGUUAAAUUCCACCUCUUUACUAAGCUUUAGUGUGUGUUACCUGUAGUGUAUAGAAAAUAAAGUGUAACAUGUUGGAUGGAAAAUAAAUGAUUUGAGGAAAUAGAUUUCAAAACAUGGUUUUGUAUGAUUGGGAGUAGUUUAAUUCGAUGUGGAUAUCAUUAUUUUAUGAAAGCCCUUCAGACUGACAAUAAGAACCGCCAAAGAAAACGCCCAGGCAAAGCUAAUGAUUCGAUUUUAGUUGAGGAAAUAUAAAAAAAUAUGGAGACUUCACAGUUCAUGCAAAUCUAUCAAAAGGAGAAAUUGUGCAAAUCUGGCUCCGAAACGAUAUUACUAUAUCGAAGAGUUCUGAAAGGUCUCAUACAACAUAAAGCUCCUCAAUACAAACAGGAGCUUUUGCCUAAUGCAGAAUGCAUUAGGCAUUCUGCCUAAUGCAACAAACAAUGUAAUCGUCAUCAUUCAGUGAGGUGCGGUGCGCAUGACUUCACUCUGACAUCACGAGGGCAUGGGAUGAUUGUGUGUGGAAGCAGAUGCGAAGAAAGGUGAUCCCGAUGCCCGUGAUUGUCCGGGUGCGCUUGAUGCGCGCUCCCGCGCCGAUGUGCCGAUGUGCCGCCGCGCUGAAAGGCACAUAGCUCCCUCGGACUACCUGUCCGCGGAGAGGGCGCUGUUCCCGGUGCUUGCGUAGUUCGACCCCCCCAGUUAGAGCGGGGUUGCCACACCCCCCCCCCCACCCUCAGCUGCAAGUCGGGAUAGCCCUAGGCAGGCGUCUCUCCGGGACAGUGCGUCUGCGUGUACGGUCCGAUGGACCACCUGGAAGUGGUAGUCCUGCAGCGCCAGGAACCAGCGUGUCACCUGGGCGUUUGGUAUCUCUGGCCGUCGCCAUCCAUUUCAGCCCUUCCGGUCAGGAAGGGCGUCAGGAUGUAGCCCCACUGGUCUGCUGGCCACCAUUCACGAUCCGCGGUCCACUCAGAAAUCUCGAGGUACGCCUCGACGUCAUCGUCCAGCCCAUUUCGGUGAGCCACUUCGUGGGGGCAGCAUGGGCAGGAUCCCGUCCGAGCUGCUCGGCCAUCCGGAUCAUGCAUCGCCGCAACACAGCUGAACCAGUCUGGGGGCUUGCCCUUUCCCCUCUGCACCUGAUGGACAUUCCAUGUCUCCUCAGGAGCCUCUGCCUCUCACGUCCCGUUGUGGACGCACGGUUAGGCGACCGCCAAAGCACUGGAACUUUGUUACUUAGUGUAGUGUAGGGGUUUGAUGGACCCUUUAUAGGUUACAUUGUUUUUGUGUACAUACCUUGGGUCGGAAUGUUUUGUGUUUCAUAUCCACUUGAGUGAUUUCUUUAACAGGUUAUGUUAUGUGUUUUCUACAUUUCUUUUUAGUACCAGUAUGUUCGGGUUCCUGUAUGGCUACAGUACUGACUUUGAGAUGUGAUAUGGUUACGUUGCUGUGUUUCAACAGGUUUCUUGAAAUGGGGACAUUACUAUUUGUAGCAGGGGAAGACUGUAACAUUGUAGUUUGCAUUAUUUGCAUUGUUUUAAUUUUUAGUUGCAUUGUACUGUUGGGAUUGAUUCCGGCCCAACUUUUGUUUUGGGAGGACAGUUGAGUGGGGUGAGCAUUUGGAGAGAUUCGCCGAGCACAUGAGGCACUGUGUUUCCGUGUUGGUCUUAAUUAAAGAAGAGAAUAACACCGGCAACGGAAUUCAUUAUAUAGUGUAACCCCCAUGUUCCCACAAUCCUGGAGUGACCGGAGGGAGCUUCCUGAGCAAAAAUAAGGGUUACAACUACAACGGGCGCUCCCGAACCUCAGAACAGACAGACAUCAGCGCGGCGCUGCCCAGAAUACUGCCGCUAUGCUGCUGAUCUGUCCAGCUGAUCUUAUUGUCAUUAUGUUCUAGGAUCUUGGAAAAUUAUGAUUAUUAUUGAAAUUAAUCCCUUUUGGAUAGAAAAUGGAUGUGAAAAAGCUUUGGGUUAUUAAGAAAGCUAUGACAAAAAAUUUAACAACAUAACAAAAACAACAUGAAAAUGUACAAUACAUUUUUGAGUUGACAGCAUAUUUAUGUGUUAAAGGCCAAUAUAAUUGAUAGCUCUAUAAUAAUACCAAUUAUUAAUGUUUCUUGUAUGAGCUAUUUUCUGUACUCGGUCCAAAUGUUAUUGUCUUUUUAGAAAAACAUUGUUGGAAGUUACAAUGCGAUUUGAGAUUUCAACAUGUCAAAUGCCAAAAAACAUGUUAAAGAGAAGUUUUUCAAGUUUUUCCAGAACAUAUUAAAUAUAUUGUUACCUGACUAUCAACAACGUGUCAUUUUCAGUUGAAUUUUGUGUUCCAUGACUCAUUGGUGUUUCCCUGAAAAACAAAUGAGUAUGAAUAUUCAAAAUAUUCUAAACUUUUUUGUUUCUUUAACUGAUCGGAACGUGGCCCAAGCAUUCCCUUCAC